UACAGAGGGUGCAAGCGUUAAUCGGAAUUACUGGGCGUAAAGGGUGCGUAGGUGGAUAAAUAAGUUGGACGUGAAAGCCCCGGGCUCAACCUGGGAUGGUCGUCCAAUACUGUUUGUCUAGAGUAUGGUAGAGGCUAGUGGAAUUUCCGGUGUAGCGGUGAAAUGCGUAGAUAUCGGAAGGAACAUCAAUGGCGAAGGCAGCUAGCUGGGCCAAUACUGACACUGAGGCACGAAAGCAUGGGGAGCAAACAGG
rnacentral:rRNA from 1 species